rnacentral:rRNA from 1 species
ACGGGUGAGGAACACGUAUCCAACCUGCCGUCUACUCUUGGCCAGCCUUCUGAAAGGAAGAUUAAUCCAGGAUGGCAUCAUGAGUUCACAUGUCCGCAUGAUUAAAGGUAUUUUCCGGUAGACGAUGGGGAUGCGUUCCAUUAGAUAGUAGGCGGGGUAACGGCUCACCUAGUCAACGAUGGAUAGGGGUUCUGAGAGGAAGGUCCCCCACAUUGGAACUGAGACACGGUCCAA